AUGCUUGCAUCCAGAAUGCCCGGUGAUCUCAUUGACGAGUACGUCUGUAUGAGUGAGUCUACAUGCCUAGAGUCCCCGUAUAAGUUCUGCAAGGUUGUUAUUGCUGUGUUUGACCCUGAGUACUUGAGAGAGCCGACAGCUAAAGAUACAGCCCGUUUGUUGGCGAUAAAUGCCAGAAGGGGCUUCCCAGGGAUGCUUGGCAGCAUAGACUGUAUGCAUUGGGAGUGGAAGAACUGUCCUUCUGCUUGGCAAGGGCAGUAUAAGGGACAUGUCAGGGCUUGCACUGUCAUAGUAGAGGCCGUGGCGUCUCAAGAUCUCUGGAUCUGCAUGGCUGGAUCACACAAUGAUAUCAACGUGCUUCAGCGCUCGCUGGUGUUUGCUAGGCUUGCCGAAGGCAACAGCCCACCAGUGAACUUUACUGUCAACGGCCACAACUACGACAAAGGAUACUACCUGGCUGACGGUAUCUAUCCUCAGUGGACCACUAUUGUCAAGACAAUACCCAACCCUGUCGGAGAGAAGAGGAAAAGAUUUGCCCAAGAGCAAGAGAGUGCUAGGAAGGAUGUUGAGCGUGCCUUUGGUGUUUUGCAAUCUCGAUGGGGCAUCGUUCGUAUCCUGCUAAUACCUGGAGCACGCAGAAACUAUGGGAGGUGA
rnacentral:rRNA from 1 species